rnacentral:SRP_RNA from 1 species
UGGUGUGAACCCUGUCAGGUCCGGAAGGAAGCAGCAGUAAGCAUGUUUGCGGCGUGUGCUGCGGUCCAGUCUGCC